rnacentral:rRNA from 1 species
GACGAACGCUGGCGGUAUGCUUAACACAUGCAAGUCGAACGAGAAGUCUUUUAUUGACCCUUCGGGGGAUAUAAGAGACAGACAGUGGCGAACGGGUGAGUAACGCGUGGGCAACCUACCUAUCGGAGCGGGAUAGCCUCGAGAAAUCGGGAGUAAAACCGCAUAACACGGAUAUAUCGCAUGAUGAAUCCGUCAAAACUCCGGUGCCGAUAGAUGGGCCCGCGUCUGAUUAGCUAGUUGGUAAGGUAAGGGCUUACCAAGGCAACGAUCAGUAGCCGGUCUGAGAGGGCGAACGGCCACACUGGAACUGAGACACGGUCCAGACUCCUACGGGAGGCAGCAGUGGGGAAUAUUGCGCAAUGGGGGCAACCCUGACGCAGCAAUACCGCGUGAGUGAAGAAGGUUUUCGGAUCGUAAAGCUCUGUUAUUGGGGAAAGAAAGCA